rnacentral:sRNA from 1 species
CAUCAACUUUUGGAUUAUGAGGUACAGCAGCAGUUGGCAGCCCAACUUGAAGACUGGAAGUCUUUACUGCUUCGUCAUUGAAAGAAUAAGAGGCAAAUCGUGAAGAUGUAAACCAGUGAUGCUGGAAAGGAGAUGCUCUUCAGGACCACUCUUCUGAAGACCUCUAUUGGACACUUUGUUGCUUAAGCACAGUAACCACAGAACUCUAUGAGAACGUGCUGGAGACUUAGCUCUACCAACAGCUUUACAGCUGGAAGAGAAGCACUGAAGGAAAGAGUGCAGUGAUCUGAAGGACUCUCCAGGUGUUUCUUCUCUUUUGCCUCCUUAGAGUUUCUUCUGAGGCACACACCACCUCAGAACUAAUUAGGGGCAAUCAAGACUAUGUUCAGCUUCCCAGGUCUCUUUUCUUUCUUAUUUUAUAUCUUAUUGUCAUCUUUUAUAAACUAUUGCUUUCAUCAAGCACAUAUAACUACAAGUUUUUAAGAGAAUAAGUAGUUUGUAAAUUUCAAUGUAAUCUGUAUCUUAACCACAUCCUCAGCUGUACCACUCAAAUUAGAAUUAACGUAUUACUAAAUGUAUAGCAGCAAGACAAGGAAUAAAGCUAAAGUCUUUUAAGUUUUA